rnacentral:lncRNA from 1 species
UAAGCUGAUUCUGUUUCUAGACUCUCUUAACCAUUGUGUACUAUACGAUGUUUUUUUUUUUUUUCAAACAAACUUUUUGUUCCAAUCUGGAAGCAAGAAAAAUCCUGUCUUCUGAGACUUUGGGGUAGUAGUUUGACAAAUGAAGAAAUCAGACCACAUACGCCAGCCGCACUCAUUUAGGAGUGCUUGUGUGCCAACUCCUCUGCUCGUGUGGUGAAGGUGUUAUGUCGCCUAGCAUGAGCAGAGUGCUGCACACGCCUGCCAUGCAGCUGUAAACAGUGGGGGCUCGCCGGGCUCAGGGUGCAUGCAUCUGUGCACAGCCUGCUUUCAUGUUUCCACUCCACACUCAAAGCAGAAGUACCAGGCGGUGAGGAAGAGAAAGCUGAGAACGUACCCAUGAGCUGAUGUCCAUCUCGAGCUCCACUGCAUGGGUGUUUCCACUCUCCAGCACUCGUAUACGUUUCCUACAUCAUCUUCCGUUAUGACUUUAUAGCACAUGGCUCCACAUUUCCCCUAACAACUGGGCUGAGAUUAUUGAUCAGCUUUAUGAGCAAGCAUGAAGAAAUUUUGUAGAGUAACCUGAUGCAGAGGCAGACGGGCUUCUUUGAAGCAUUACUGCAACAUUUGCUAACAGAGAGCAAGGAUAAAACAAUAGGAACACCCCAGCAAGAUGAAUUUGUUCUGUUUAUGCUUCAGCAUGUGCUCAUGUGGCAUUUGACAAGUACAGGAGACUUCAAAGAUGAUCAGCAAAUGGAAUCCAUGAAGAUUGGCCUCUACCCUCUCUCCAGUGAAGUGCUUGCUGUGUAAGCCACUGCAGUUUGUCUCUCUCUCCCCUGAAUGACGUGUGACUCUUUCAGUGAGGUCCCUGUGAUUCUCAUCCGAUACUGAAACUGCUGAGAGCAGCUGGAGGAGCAAGGGCAUUUUGAUUGCCCCAUGCUGUAGAUCGAAGCCUACUUGUUAAUUACAGUGUAUUAACUGAAACCAUGUAUGCAUUUUUGUUAGUUUUGCUAAACUCAACAGUUGUGCCAAUGAUAGAUCUCUCUCGAAACAGGAA